GGGGUUGUAGUUCAGUGGCAGAACACUUGCCUGGCAAGUGAGGGGCACUGGGUUUGAUCCUCAGCACCA
rnacentral:tRNA from 1 species